rnacentral:tRNA from 1 species
CAUCAAAUGACUGAAAGCAAGUAAUGGUCUCUUAAACCAAAAUAUAGUAAUUAGCGACCACUUUUGAUGA